UAUGAAGAACGUAGCGAAAUGCGAUAAGUAAUGUGAAUUGCAGAAUUCAGUGAAUCAUCGAAUCUUUGAACGCACAUUGCGCCCCCUGGUAUUCCGGGGGGCAUGCCUGUUCGAGCGUCAUUUCACCACUCAAGCCUCGCUUGGUAUUGGGCAACGCGGUCCGCCGCGUGCCUCAAAUCGACCGGCUGGGUCUUCUGUCCCCUAAGCGUUGUGGAAACUAUUCGCUAAAGGGUGUUCGGGAGGCUACGCCGUAAAACAACCCCAUUUCUAAGGUUGACCUCGAAUCAGGUAGGGAUACCCGCUGAACUUAAGCAUAUCAAUAAGCGGAGGA
rnacentral:misc_RNA from 1 species